rnacentral:lncRNA from 1 species
GGAGCUGGAAAGGUGGAGGCGGAAGUGACUGAUCAAUUCAGGGGCGUGGGGUUCGUUUAGGUUUUGCCCUGUGUAUGACCUCGUUUGGAGCCAUGAAACCAGGAAGCUCUUCCACGAGUUCACGAAUGGAAAUAACAUCAAGAGUUUUUCAUCUUCUUAGUGUGCAAGGUAUGGAUAUUCUGUGUGUGAACUUCAAGAGUAUCUAAGGGAGGCAAUAACAUGGUUGAUAAUAUACCAGAGACUACAAACUGUCUGUGCAUCCCAGAGGAACAGGAAGCUUGUGCAGGUGAAAAGACUGGAGGAGGAAGUAUGUUGAUGAUACCCAGGAAGCCCACCUUCCACUUCUUUGGUCAUCAGAAAUAAAUAUCAAGGAGUGCAAUUCCUGGAUUUAUGAUGUCUGAGGAAUAGUCUUAGUGGAUUAUCCCAAACUUGACACAUUUUUUGCAAAAUGCUAUACAAAAAGAAGAUACAUGCGAUUAUGACAAGAUUCUCCACUUGGUGUGACCAGUCUCAUACAACCCAAGGCUGUGUGUCCAAAGGCAACUGUACUGAUCUUGACAAUAAUCAAAAGGUAGCCAGGUGCAUCGGGGAAAGCACUGACAUUGGAGUCAGAC